rnacentral:rRNA from 1 species
GACAGAGGAUGCAAGCGUUAUCCGGAAUGAUUGGGCGUAAAGCGUCUGUAGGUGGCUUUUUAAGUCUGCCGUCAAAUCCCAGGGCUUAACCCUGGACAGGCGGUGGAAACUACCAAGCUGGAGUACGGUAGGGGCAGGGGGAAUUUCCGGUGGAGCGGUGAAAUGCGUAGAGAUCGGAAAGAACACCAACGGCGAAGGCAGCUCGCUGGGACGUGACUGACGCUGAGACGCGAAAGCGUGGGGAGCAAACAGG